ensembl:lncRNA
CCAAUAUUUAUUGCUGGGGGAGUGGAGGAAAUGACAAUUCCACAAACCAUAACCCCUGUGAUAGAAAAAGAAAUAAGGAAAAGAAUCAACAUCUCCGUGCCUCUGGCUCAGUAUUGCACUUGAUGUGCAGGUCCACUCCUAUACCGAUGAAGCAUUUAAGCAGAGCAGUAUAAACAUAUGCUUAUAUUUCGCUAGCAGGAAAUUUAAAUCAACAUUUAUCUCCAUAAAGCCAGUCCUCAAAGAAUGAAUCAGGGACCAAAUCGGUAUUGUAAUUGAACUAAAAUAAUCCUAAGCUUCCUCUAAAAGCACAUAGCUUUAACCUGUCACGUCGAAUGAGAAUUAUACACUUAAACUAUAAUCUUCCUGUUCCCUUAGUCAUCAGAGCCCAGAUCAAAGUGAAAGAGGAAAAAAGCACAGAUGCUGCUCGGUUGUGAAGGAGGAGGUGGGGCACACAGGGAGCUUCUUGAGAAGAACUUUUGAGAGCCAAAAUCUAACUCCAGUGCACGCUGGACUUGGCCUUUUACAUGUACAGCAGUCCUUGCUCACUGAGACAUUGCAGAGGUAUGGACUUUCACUUUUACUUUCACUCCAUGUAAGACCUCCCAUCUAAUCUACCCUCAUCCUUUGUUCCUGCUGCUCCAGGACCAACGGCUGAUAGAACCUGCAGCUGUGCCUUUUGCUCGCAUGUCCCUGGGUGGGACCUGACCAAGGACACCACUCAUGGCCACUGCCUGCACUCAGCCUGUGUCUCACUCAGAGACACAGCCCAUCUCUGACAGGAAUUCUGACUUGGUUUAAAGCCUCACUAACACAAAAACCUUUUCCUCCUGCUGAUAAGCUGCUAACCAUCCAAAGCAUGGAGCUUUUUUUGCCCUGUUUCUUGCUGUGUUUUGUUGGCUGGGAACUCCAUCCUGCUUUUUAUCCCUCAAUUAGCAGAUACAGGCUGUGAUCAAGAUGCCUCUUGAUUUUCUUUUGAAUAAACUGUCCAAUUUUUUUUUCUCUGCAGUCUUCUUAUGUAGUAGACAAGGGCUGUACCUGGUGAGCAUCCAGCAGCGCAGGAGGCUGCAAGGUCCUGGAUGUGGUGCAGAGAAUUGGCUUCCUCGUGACAGAACAAGAAGUAACAAUUCCAAACUAAAAGGGGAGAUUCAGAUUAGAUAUUAG